UGGGGAAUCUUGGACAAUGGGGGGAACCCUGAUCCAGCCAUGCCGCGUGAACGAUGAAGGCCUUAGGGUUGUAAAGUUCUUUCGCCGGGGAAGAUAAUGACGGUACCCGGUAAAGAAACCCCGGCUAACUCCGUGCCAGCAGCCGCGGUAAUACGGAGGGGGUUAGCGUUGUUCGGAAUUACUGGGCGUAAAGCGCGCGUAGGCGGAUUUGUCAGUCAGAGGUGAAAUCCCGGGGCUCAACCCCGGAACUGCCUUUGAUACUGCAAGUCUAGAGGACGAGAGAGGUGAGUGGAAUUCCGAGUGUAGAGGUGAAAUUCGUAGAUAUUCGGAGGAACACCAGUGGCGAAGGCGGCUCACUGGCUCGACCCUGACGCUGAGGUGCGAAAGUGUGGGGAGCAAACAGGAUUAGAUACCCCCGUAGUCC
rnacentral:rRNA from 1 species